CAGAAAUCCUGACAAUCCUUUACGAUCAUCUGCCAGCUGCUCAGCAGGGCAGCCUGAAGGAGUUCCUCUUUGAGGCAGUGUCUGUCCUGGGCUGCUAUCACCCUGAGGCAGUAACCAACAGCCUCCUCCAGAGACACCUGCCCAUGGACAGUGAUACCGUGGAGCUGUGGAGGACUCUUGGCAGAGGCAUCUUUGCAAUUGAAAUGCUCCAGUUGCUAAUGGGCAAACUGGAGAGCGCUGAAGACACCCCCGCCAGAAGCAACUGCCUCGAUGAGGAAGGGAGCGACAAUCUGGCUGCGCUGGAGCCUCUCAUGGUAACCUGUGCCCUCCGUGAGCUGGUGUAUUCCCUGGAGCCCCA